GGGCCUGUAGUAUAACGGUAAUACACCUGCAUGGCAUGCAUGAGUCGAGGGUUCAACUCCCUCCAGGUCCA
rnacentral:tRNA from 1 species